CCUCGUGCCCGGAGGUCAUGGCCGUGCGGGAGGAGCCCUACAGCGGCGUCGCCGGCGCCGUGAUGCCCAACAGCAGGUGCUGCUGGAGGCAGCCGGAGGAGGGAAUUGAUGGUCGUGCCGCUGGAUGCAGCGGUACAACGCAGCACGUGAGACCAAUUCCUCAAUCUCCUGCCCAUGUUUGUAGCUGGAUUUUUUUCAAGGGAGAAGAAAUGCAUCUCCUUUUAACGCUUUGGUUGCACAUGGGUUCAAAUCAGCUGUAUGAAAAACAUCUGUGCAUAUAUACUUUGAGAAAUUCAGAAUGGGCAUUUAGAUGCUAUGGUCUGCUACUGAUUAGUACUAUUACCCAUGCAAUUUCUCUUGUUAGCGAGCAACAGGGAUUUGUAGCUGCAGGUGAGACCAAUUCCUUGAUGUACUACAUGGAUUUUGUAGCCCCCCAAAAAAUGGGAAGUUAGUUGGCACGUUUAGUUGCAUAUUGAUGCAAAUCAGUUCUGUGUGAACCUUCUUUACAUGUAUAGUUUGAGCAAUUUAGAGAGGACAAUUAGUUGCUAUGGUCUGUGCUGGUUAGUGUAUUAAUCAUGCAAUUUUUGGUAUGUUCAGACUUAAUGUCUAUGCAUGGCUUAAAGCCCAUCCACCUGUAGCUCUUGUAAUUGCUUUGACACUGUUCAGUUAAAGAAAGUUUAGAAUUCAUAUUCAUCAGCAUCCAUGUGUUUGUCAGAAAAUUAGCAUGCUGGGGAGUGGCCUUUAAAAUGAAUGGAUCUUACUGUUUAUGUGUGUGCAUGCAACUCUGCGAGGGUGAAAAUCAGUGUAUUGCAUAGCAGCUGUCAAUGUUGAAUUUACAUGGAUAUAUGUGCCUGUGCUGCUGUUUAUCUCGAAAGCUGCAUUUGUAGCUUCCUUGUGCUGCUGUUACCAUCUAUUCAUGUCAAAUAUACCAUGAUAUACGUGUUUGCUUCGCUGACCAUGCUUUGUUCUUGUUCGAGGAUCAAUAGGAGGACUGAAGGACAGCGGUGGGCUUGUUCUUUGACUCCAUGUUGUGUUUAGGUAAAGUUUCUGGUUCCUCUCUAUGUCUUGAUGAUAAUGGAGAUUUCUAGCCUGUUGUGUUUGUGAAAUAUGUUGACUGCUGUGUGCAACUGCAAUUUUUAUUACAGAUGUCAGAUGGUGAUGUUAAUUUCAAUGUUACGCUGUGGUGCAUGUGUUAAUUGUGAGUUGUGCUGGAAGUUUACUUUAUUUUGGUGCUGGUAUUUAGCUAAGUUGUCAAAUAGCUUUUGUUUCACCCAAUGAAUGCUAUUUGGUGGAACUGCAGGCUCUCUAAAGUGAUAAUAUGGUCACCGCUUUAUUGU